rnacentral:rRNA from 1 species
AGAGUUUGAUCCUGGCUCAGGAUGAACGCUAGCGGCAGGCCUAAUACAUGCAAGUCGAGGGGCAGCACGGGGGCAACCCUGGUGGCGACCGGCAGACGGGUGCGGAACACGUACGCAACCUUCCCAAAACUGGUGAAUAGCCUUCCGAAAGGGAGAUUAAUACACCGUAACUUAAUGAAGUGGCAUCACUUUAUUAAUAUAGCUCCGGCGGUUUUGGAUGGGCGUGCGCCUGAUUAGGUAGUUGGUGAGGUAACGGCUCACCAAGCCUGCGAUCAGUAACUGGUGUGAGAGCACGACCAGUCACACGGGCACUGAGACACGGGCCCGACUCCUACGGGAGGCAGCAGUAAGGAAUAUUGGUCAAUGGACGCAAGUCUGAACCAGCCAUGCCGCGUGAAGGAUUAAGGCCCUCUGGGUUGUAAACUUCUUUUAUAGGGGACGAAAAAAGGGCAUUCUUGCUCACUUGACGGUACCCUAGGAAUAAGCACCGGCUAACUCCGUGCCAGCAGCCGCGGUAAUACGGAGGGUGCAAGCGUUAUCCGGAUUUACUGGGUUUAAAGGGUGCGUAGGUGGGUUGGUAAGUCAGUGGUGAAAUCUUCGAGCUUAACUCGGAAACUGCCAUUGAUACUAUCAAUCUUGAAUCAUCUAGAGGUAAGCGGAAUAUGUCAUGUAGCGGUGAAAUGCUUAGAUAUGACAUAGAACACCAAUUGCGAAGGCAGCUUACUAUGGAUGCAUUGACACUGAGGCACGAAAGCGUGGGGAUCAAACAGGAUUAGAUACCCUGGUAGUCCACGCCCUAAACGAUGGAUACUCGACAUUUGUGAUAUACUAUAAGUGUCUGAGCGAAAGCAUUAAGUAUCUCACCUGGGAAGUACGACCGCAAGGUUGAAACUCAAAGGAAUUGAUGGGGGUCGCACAAGCGGUGG